rnacentral:lncRNA from 1 species
CUGACUGUGAGCAUCCACUUCUGUGUUUGCUAGGCCCUGGCAUAGCCUCACAAGAGACAACUAUAUCAGGGUCCUUUCAGCAAAAUCUUGCUAGUAUAUGCAAUGGUGUCAGCGUUUGGAAGCUGAUUAUGGGAUGGAUCCCCGGAUAUGGCAGUCUCUAGAUGGUCCAUCCUUUUGUCACAGCUCCAAACUUUGUCUUUGUAACUCCUUCCAUGGGUGUUUUGUUCCCAAUUCUAAGAAGGGGCAAAGUGUCCACACUUUGGUCUUCGUUCUUCUUGUGUUUUGCAAAUUGUAUCUUAUAUCUCAGGUAUACUAAGUUUCUGGGCUAAUAUCCACUUAUCAGUGAAUACAUAUCAUUUGAGUUCUUUUGUGAUUGUGUUACCUCACUCAGGAUGAUGCCCUCCAGGUCCAACCAUUUGCCUAGGAAUUUCAUAAAUUCAUUCUUUUUAAUAGCUGAGUAGUAUUCCAUUGUGUAAAUGUACCACGUUUUUUGUACCCAUUCCUCUGUUGAGGGGCAUCUGGGUUCUUUCCAGCUUCUGGCUAUUAUAAAUAAGGCUGCUAUGAACAUAGUGGAGCAUGUGUCCUUCUUACCGGUUGGGACAUCUUCUGGAUAUAUGCCCAGGAGAGGUAUUGCGGGAUACUCCGGUAGUACUAUGUCCAAUUUUCUGAGGAACCGCCAGACUGAUUUCCAGAGUGGUUGUACAAGCUUGCAAUCCCACCAACAAUGGGGGAGUGUUCCUCUUUCUCCACAUCCUAGCCAGCAUCUGCUGUCACCUGAAUUUUUGAUCUUAGCCAUUCUGACUGGUGUGAGAUGGAAUCUCAGGGUUGUUUUGAUUUGCAUUUCUCUGAUGAUUAAGAAUGUUGAACAUUUUUUCAGGUGCUUCUCAGCCAUUCGGUAUUCCUCAGGUGAGAAUUCUUUGUUCAGCUCUGAGCCCCAUUUUUUAAUGGGGUUAUUUGAUUUUCUGGAGUCCACCUUCUUGAGUUCUUUAUAUAUAUUGGAUAUUAGUCCCCUAUCUGAUUUAGGAUAGGUAAAGAUCCUUUCCCAAUCUGUUGGUGGCCUUUUUGUCUUAUUUACGGUGUCUUUUACCUUGUAGAAGCUUUGCAGUUUCAUGAGGUCCCUUUGUCAAUUCUCAAUCUUACAACACAAGCCAUUUCUGUUCUAUUCAGGAAUUUUUCCCCUGUGCCCAUCUCUUUGAGGCUUUUCCCCACUUUCUCCUCUAUAAGUUUCAGUGUCUCUGGUUUUAUGUGGAGUUCCUUGAUCCACUUAGAUUUGACCUUAGUACAAGGAGAUAGGAAUGGAUCAAUUCGCAUUCUUCUACAUGAUAACCACCAGUUGUGCAAGCACCAUUUGUUAAAAAUGCUGUCUUUCUUCCACUGGAUGGUUUUAGCUUCCUUG